CCUGGCUGGAUGCUCUGAGGAGCGGCGGCGCGCGCGAUGCGCCGGAUACCUCGCUCAGGCCUGGGAGGCUGAGAGAUCACAUGCUUGCCGAUCUACGGCAGGAGAGGAUUAUUUCAACAGUGUCUCGGUCCCUCACAGCUCGUAAGGUUCGGUAUAAUAAAUUUUGUGGGCGUCACCGUUUUCUAAUUGCGAUGCUUUUUUGCCUUGAAACUGAAGACUCACGUUGAAACCUGUGAAAUCAGCCUUUCAAGGGGUAUCGCAAAAUGAGGAAACUGGUUCAGAUUACACAACAUGGGAUGUGGUGCCACCACUUGGCUGUACCAUACUUUAACUCAAUUGUGUUUGGGUCUUAAUUCACGUUCUUUAUACCACAACGCAUUGCUUCCAUAGAAAUAACCUGUGAUAUCCCAAGUCAGUUGUGAAAGACCUUCAGUUUCUGGUAAAGAAACUGGCCAUCUGAAACAACCAAUGGGCACCUGGCAUUUGACAGAGAUGUUUUCCAUCUGUGCUUUAAGAGAAAUGCUGUGGUCAACUGCUCUGAACCAGCUGGCUCUGACUUGACCACAGACACGUACCUGAGCAGAUGAGACCUGGAGGUAUCCGAAAGUUACCUUUGCUUCAUUACCAUGCUAAGAUCUCUGCCCAAGGAGGGAUUUGUUCUCUGCUAGGCACAAUUUGUUCCAUGUGCAAAGAAUUGUGGAAGACUGUGCGAGCCGCAGCUGCCCCUGGCUGCUCAAGGAAAUCUAUCUCCACCACUUUCCUAGAGUCCUGAUGACAAGUCUCCCUCCUACACCUUAAAAUUUCCUGGAGAAGAGGGUGUUUUUAGAGCAUGAACUCUCUUUU